rnacentral:rRNA from 1 species
UCCGCAAUGGGCGAAAGCCUGACGGAGCAAUACCGCGUGAGGGAGGAAGGCUCUUGGGUCGUAAACCUCUUUUCUCAAGGAAGAAGAAAGUGACGGUACUUGAGGAAUAAGCAUCGGCUAACUCCGUGCCAGCAGCCGCGGUAAUACGGAGGAUGCAAGCGUUAUCCGGAAUGAUUGGGCGUAAAGGGUCUGCAGGUGGAACUGAAAGUCUGCUGUUAAAGAGUUUGGCUUAACCAAAUAAAAGCGGUGGAAACUACAGAACUAGAGUGCGGUAGGGGCAAAAGGAAUUCCUGGUGUAGCGGUGAAAUGAGUAGAUAUCAGGA